rnacentral:ncRNA from 1 species
AAACUGAAGAGUUUGAUCAUGGCUCAGAUUGAACGCUGGCGGCAGGCCUAACACAUGCAAGUCGAGCGGUAACAGAUCUAGCUUGCUAGAUGCUGAC